rnacentral:rRNA from 1 species
UACGUAGGGGGGCGAGCGUUGUCCGGAUUUAUUGGGGCGUAAAGAGCGUGUAGGCGGCCAGGCAGGUCUGCUGUGAAAACUCGAGGCUCAACCUCGAGACGUCGGCGGAAACCAUCUGGCUAGAGUCCGGAAGAGGAGAGUGGAAUUCCUGGUGUAGCGGUGAAAUGCGCAGAUAUCAGGAAGAACACCCGUGGCGAAGGCGGCUCUCUGGGACGGUACUGACGCUGAGACGCGAAAAGCGUGGGGAGCGAACAGG